GCAUAUGCCGUAUGACCACCUAGACCAUACGAAUACCAAACUCUGAGCUGAGAAUCAAUUUUUCUUUUUUUGACCAGUGUUUGAUUUGUGAGCAUAGCCGUUCGAGGGAGGCUUUAAGACUAAGCGGAAUCCUCUUCCGGCUGCUCGCUCGCUCCCGCUUCACAGCGAGCGGGUCUCACGCUAACCGAGUUAGGUUUUUUAACGUCCGCGUUUCGACUUCAGCUAACGUUAAUCAGUUUGGGAGAAUGCAAACAACGUGAUUCCAACAUCCAGCCAUGCAAGAAAACGUGCAUUUUAUCUGAGGGAAGACGUAAUCAAUAAGGAAAGUCGUCUUUCUUUAAUCAGAGUUGGAGUGGACCUCUUGUUGAAGAACUUCUCCAGGCACUAUGAACCAUCUGACUAAUGCUGUCAUGAAAAGGCAACUGCUGGACACCUGGGACAGGCCAUCAAUUCCAAGUUGGCGGAACUGAGGUUUCAACUGAAGAAAAAGGAGACCUGUUAGAGUUUAGAGUUGUCUAAUAGAGAGGGUGAAGGAAGAACAUCCAAACCCUGCCCCUGCUUCCUUCAAGAUUUUUUAUGGAUUUAUAUAAUGGUGUUUUUUCGUAAAGUAAAGACAGUGGCAAAAUUAACAUGACACUACUUUGAUGUUUUGUUCUACAAAUUAAACCACACACACACUCCAAAAACACCAAUUUUGAUACAAUUUACAUUUGCAAGAAAAAAAAAAUCAAAGUAUUGUCAUGUU
ensembl:lncRNA